AAGGANCAUUACAAGUGAGGCUACCGAACGNUGGAAANNNNNGUUAGGAGCUUACACCCACCCGUGUUUAUAUACUAUNGUUGNUUUGGCGGGCCGUGGNCUCCACUGCGGGCUCUGCUCGUGUGUGCCCGCCAGAGGACCAAACUCUGAAUGUUAGUGAUGUCNGAGUACUAUCUAAUAGUUAAAACUUUCAACAACGGAUCUCUUGGUUCUGGCAUCGAUGAAGAACGCAGCGAAAUGCGAUAAGUAAUGUGAAUUGCAGAAUUCAGUGAAUCAUCGAAUCUUUGAACGCACAUUGCGCCCUGUGGUAUUCCGCAGGGCAUGCCUGUUCGAGCGUCAUUUAACCACUCACGCCURGCGUGGUAUUGGGGCACGCGGUCUCGCGGCCCUCAAAAUNAGNUGGCGGNGCCGGUGGGCUCUAAGCGUAGUACANYACUCCCGCUAUAGAGUUCUCCNGGUGGCUNGCCAGAACNCCCCAAUUUUUACAGGUUGACCUCGGAUCAGGUAGGGAUACCCGCUGAACUUAAGCAUAUCAAUAAGCGGAGGAAAAGAAACCAACAGGGAUUACCUCAGUAACGGCGAGUGAAGCGGUAACAGCUCAAAUUUGAAAGCUGCCAACAGGCCGCGUUGUAAUUUGUAGAAGCUGCUUUGGGUGUCGGCCCGGUCUAAGUUCCUU
rnacentral:rRNA from 1 species